CACAGACAGACUUUAUAUAGGCCAAAGAAGUGGGAGCUGCAUCAGGGCUGAGACUCCACUUCUUCUGAUGAAUUGACAUAACCUCCCUCCUACUAAUAGAAAGGUCAGUCAAAGGAGCCCAGUGUCCUUAAGGCAGAGAAUAGAGAGAGUGAUCCAGACCGCCUAUGUUAGAUGGUGCUGUGAACUGGAGAAGCUUCUUUCUGUUGAUUUACAGAGGCAGAGUAAAGUGUCAUUUCCUUAAUUUACAGCUGACCUUUGCAAAAGCCUAACUUAGAGUUCGUUCAGAGAAAGUCACGCUCUCAAGGGAAGCCAAAUAAUUUUACGCGGUCAGUUACCAAUGAAGGGUUUCCUGAGGAGCAUACAGAAGAAGAUAGAUCUCAGGUGUCUGAGUCCUCUUGAGAUCCUCACUGGCAACAGUUGGUGCAGGGAAGCUGGACUGGGGAAGGAAUAUUGCUCUUCUGUCACAAGCUGGUCUGAGGGCUGCUCUGACCUGUGAAACAUAGAACUGGCAUUUGUGAAGCUGGUGCAUUGAUGGGAUCGCUGAGAGGGGAG
rnacentral:lncRNA from 1 species